UUUUUUUCGAUUCCCCAAGGACAGAAAGAAGCGAUUAGCCUGGAUUAGAGCCAUAAAUAGGGACGAUUGGACUCCAAACGAGUACAGUCGAGUGUGUUCCGAACAUUUUGUUGAUUCGAGGCAUAGUGACGAUCCGACGGACAUCAACUAUCGUACCACGUUAUUUGCCUAUAAAUCCCAGCAACCAUCAGAGUCACAAACCGCCCGAAAUGAAAGACUCAGCAAAAGAAAUUUACUUCAGUCAACAGGUAAUAUCACUCAUAACUUGUUAAAGUUAUAAUUAAUUCAUGCUAAAACCGGGGCCGGGAAGAAAAAGAAACCCUAACAUUAAAAAGGCACCACGACUUCAGUUUGUUUAGCCAUAGCUAUUGCUGCACAUAUACUACAACAACUGAUGAAGUCUCAUCCUUGACAGAGAACACAUUUAUCUCUAAUCCAGAUUUACCUGUAGAUGAUGUUAACAUCAAGAUAUUGAAAGAUGAAGGUAUGCAGUGUGACCCGGACCCUUUGUUGGUGGAAAAUAUGGCACUGAAGAAAGAGCUAGGUGGAAGAGCUCCAAAAAGAGGUGAUUCGGCAUAAGCGGAGUUUCCAGAAAAUAUCUGAUGAAUGAUGAUGAUGACUCCAAGACUCGAUUUUACACUGGACUUCCCUCAUUCGCUGUGUUCAUGUGGCUCUUCAGUAUUUUACGUCCAAAGGCAGAGAGGAUGAAGUAUUGGUCUGGACCAAACACCGACCAGUCUUCUGAUCGCAAGCGAGCAUAAGCAGGAUCCUUAGACCUAAUUGAUCAGCUGUUUGCCGUACUAAUGAGACUGCGUGUUGGGCGUUUGACCAGCGAUAUAGCAGAACGCUUCCAAAUUUCAGAGAGUACUUUUUCGAAAUAUUUCUCUUCAUGGAUUUGUUUACUUUGGCAAGAAUUGAAAUGUCUUAAUCCCUUUCCAUCACGUGAUAUAGUUCAGAGAACAAUGCCACCUUCAUUUAAAAGAGAUACUCUUCAGUUCGAGUCAUUAUUGAUUGUACAGAAAUUUAUAUUAAAAAACCGUCUAGCCUUGUU
rnacentral:misc_RNA from 1 species